AAGAAAUUACGCACGUAAAGGGUAUAUUUCGUCUUUAAGCACUAUGGGAGCCGCAGUUGCUUGCUGUAAAACAAUAUUUUAAGACAUAGUUUCGUCUCAUUUUUUGCAGACAAGGGUUGAUAUUUUUCUAAAAGAACCAGGAUGAGCGACGACUGCGGAGGCGGAGGCGACUCGGGAGGCGGAGGGGGAUGCGACUCGGGAGGCGGAGGGGGAUGCGACUCGGGAGGAGGGUGGGGUUCUGGCGGAGGAGGAAGCAGCUUCGACUGGAGUAAUGAUGACAAUGGAGGAGGAGGAGGAGGAGGAGGAGGAGAUUGCGAGGACGCCUUCGAAUACAUGGAGACGUCGAGCGGUCAUCGAGUCAGGAUGCCGAAGUCGAGGUCAAGAGGCGGGGGCGGCAGCAGUUCGAGUUCGAACGGCAAAUUGUGCCUGUAUGCAAUUGUGUUCUUUAUUUUUGUGGGGCUCAUUAUAUAUCUGUUUUCUAGGUUUAGCUUUUGAUUCUGGGAAUGUGGCUUGGUGUCUCGGAAUCAAAAAUUGCUUAUGUGAGUAAAAGGUUAGUAUUAACAACUUUCUUUGUUAUAUAUAUUAAUUAUUAAGUAUUUUUACACAGUAAUGAAUGUCAUGUAUAUUUCGUAUAUCCGUUACCCAUACAUUUACACCAAAAGAAAGUAAUGGUAGUUUUAUAUGAAUUCUUUUGUAGUUUAUAAUUUUGAAACAUGCUUUAAUUAUAAUAUGUGAUAAAUGAUGAUUUUUGUAAUUCAUCCCGUUACAUUCUGUUCUUAAUUGUUAAUAAUAUCCUUUUAAUUUGUGCAUGGAUUAUUUUUGUUAAUGUCGGAUGUGAUAAGAACGAAUGAAUGGUAUAAAGGUCUAUAUAGCCAGAAAGAAAGAGCGGUUGGAAGAUAUAUGAGAAUGAUUAAGUGAGGAUAUUUGGGGUCGAGCUCGCAAGCACCGCGCCCUCGACACCCAAGGAGACGGGGACCUCGCAGCCGCCUUCCUUGGGGCGCAGUGAACCCAAGGCCAGGACCCCUUCAUCUGCCUUUUGAAGCCACCCUUUGGUGAUAUCCGACGGCAGCGUCCAACCUGUCUCGUUGACCCUCUGUUAUUAGACUGUUGAUUCGUACUUUAUGUAAUAAAAGUGAUAUAUGAAAUC